CCAACUGUGCCAUUGACUGUGUCUCACAGUGGCAGUCCCAAUGGUCAGUGGUUUGGUCAGCAGCCAGGGGGCGGGGCUAGGCAGCCGACCAUCAACUACCAGGGCAUGACACUGACCAGUGAACAGAUUGCUUCACUACAAGCCCAGCAAAGACUAGCUCAAACUGCCACCAUGUUCAAAACAGCAGAAGGUCCAAAGUGAAGAAUGAAAAAAAAAGACAUUGUUGGACUCCAUGGUUAAGAGCGUCAGAAGAAAGAAACUAUGUCUGAGAAUAGUCACACAUUGGCCAGUGCUUGCAGAGGCAUGUUAUAUUGAAUGCCAACUGGGAAUUGCAGGGCAAAAUCGGACCAAGACUCUGUACUCUUUCCUUGCGACAUUAGAUAGGCAUGGCUGCAUAUGUGUCUUUCACAAUCAUAUAUUUGAAAUACAUUUGAAAUAAUUAAAUAGAAAAUAAGUGCAUAUUUUUAAUUA